CAGGCUGAUGAGACUAAGGCGAAUGCGACUCCGUGCCCUCUGGCCCUUGGCUCCUUCUUGGGGGUGGGGACUACAGAUGAGAUCUGAAAUCUUGGUGGGGGUAGCCGAGGCCUGACUCCCCAUUGUAAGGCCAGAUCAAUAGCAUUGCUGGCCUUGCCUUCAUUUCUGCUGCUGCCCCCAGUUCCUGGCAGCAGCCUAUAGGGAGGCCCACAGGUGGGGUCCAAGGUAGGGCUGGGCACAAGUCAUCUGAGCGCAACCUUGGAUCUGACA
ensembl:snoRNA